UCCCCCGUGGCGCAAUUGGCUAGCGCGUCAGACUGUUAUCAUCCGGGCAUCUGGAGGCUGGUGGUUCGAGCCCACCCGGGGGAG
rnacentral:tRNA from 1 species